rnacentral:lncRNA from 1 species
ACGGUAUAUAUUAAGCUUGACCUAACCUUCGAUAAGAGGCUUCCAUUUAAUCAUCACCUAUGUCCGUUAUGAAGCACCAUAUGAAGCUUCGCAACAUGACAAUACUGCUGACCACUGAUCUGCAACAACUGUAACAUCAUUCCUAGGCUGAUAGAAUUGUUCAUCGUGUUCUUCAUUAUUCUGCCAUAAACAAAGACAUAUAUUUUAAUUUUAUAAUUUUAAAAAUUGAAUUUAAAUUUAAGAGAUGCCUUUGAUCAAGUGAACCUAUCUAAGCGACUCAUAGCAUUUUCAUUGGGCUUAAACCAAGUGAACGGUCUCCCUAAUAAAGGGAGAUCAAUAAGACCCAUAAAGGAGAUAAAGAAAACUCUCGAAUCUCCCCAUCUCACCCGAUAGCUCGAGCGGUUAGAGCACCCUCCUCUCCGAUUCAUCCAACAUAGCGUUGAAACGCUCACUACACACCAAACUUCCCCUAU